UACAGAGGUCCCAAGCGUUGUUCGGAUUCAUUGGGCGUAAAGGGUGUGUAGGUGGCGCCGUAAGUCGGGUGUGAAAUCUCGGGGCUUAACUCCGAAACUGCAUUCGAUACUGCGGUGCUUGAGGACUGGAGAGGAGACUGGAAUUCAUGGUGUAGCAGUGAAAUGCGUAGAGAUCAUGAGGAAGACCAGUGGCGAAGGCGGGUCUCUGGGCUGACACUGACGCUCAUGCACGAAAGCGUGGGGAGCAAACAGG
rnacentral:rRNA from 1 species